CGAAGCAGAAGAACAACUUCCACAGGACCAGUAGGGACCCUCGUUUGGGACAUUUAAGCCCAAAUACGACUAAGGUCUGGAGGUAACACUAGUGAAACCCAUUGCACCACCCCUCAAACCUGCAGGCAGGAGUGAGCUGCAUGACGCUGCCCCUGCAUGUUUUCUGUAGCAAUUACCAUGAGCUAAAAACAAAGCCUAGGGUGGGAUUUGUUAGCACUGAACACCUCGGAUUGCAGCUCAUUCCAGCUGUAAUGGAGUGUUGAGCAGGGUUCAGCUCUGCAGGGGCUGAGCUGCUCGCAGGUGUAGCCUGCCUUGCAAACUAUUGGAAAUUGCACCCUGAAGACCGAGAAGGAGUAGGAAAGUGUUGGGAUCUGCUGGGAAGUGUUGCAAUGCUGCUAACAGUCAGUAUCAGCUCAAGGGCCCAAACAGCACCCUAAAACAGAGAAUAACCUUCCCAGAAGAAGAGUGCACGGGAGCGGGUGAGGACUCUGUAAAGGGAGCAAACACGACACAAAAGCCCUUCUGAGGAAUAUAAAUAUCUCCGUGAUGAUGAGCUGGUGAAAGGAGGGAAAGGCAGAACUCCCAAGGCAGAAAUCAACCUGCUGACAGAACCGUCUGGGGUGUCCUGUAACAUCUCUGCUAGCAGUUUCUUCAGGACAGCUUGGUACUUUUCCAGCUGCCUUGGGAUGAGGCACAUCCCAGCUCUGCCAGGAACUGCCCGCUGAGGGGGCGGAAGGCAGAAACAUUAGAAGGAAAAGCUGAGGAGAGCAGACAGAGGCAGGUUGUGGAGCUCAGACCCCGCUUUGGUCAAGUUGGAAGAGGGUCUGGGGCUGAUUUGAAGGGACAAGGAUGAUCCUCAUGUAGGGAGGAAAGCAACAUUUUGAAGUCAAUGCAGUCUUGUGCUGUUCAGAGGGCCAGAGUUUUCAUGCAUUGGAUCAGCUAUGGGCUGACUCGGAAACACAGAUGAAAGCUCCUCCUGGCCACAGAGACUGUAAAGAUGAAAAUCAUUGAUUAUGAUCCUCCACUAUCUCACACCCUGACCCUUCAAGCCCUCAGCUUCACUGGUGCUGGUGAAGCACCCUGCCUUAAUAAAGGCUGAGGAUGAAGCAUCAUCCUGCCUCCAGCCUGACUGACUUUGAGCCAGCUGUGGCUCAGAUGUGCCUGAAGUAAAUAGAGUUGUUCUGGAGGCACAGGAGGGCUUGUGGUUGCAGCAGGGAAGGGUGUGCACACUGGGAUGUGCCAAUUAUUUAAUGCUUUGAAGUGUGAAUCCUUGCUGUUUAAAUCCUAUUAUUGCUUCUUGGUGCACCAUGGCUGUAAUAGCUGCACAUUAACCUGCAAAGUCUUGGCCUGAUUCCAGUGUAGCUGGUUUGGGGUGGACCUCCACACUGCUGCUGGUGGAGAGCACUGCUGAGCUCCCUGCAGGAGGGGCUACAUGGGCAGGGCAAAGAACAACCUGGAUUCAGGUGGAAAAGCACAGUUUUCAGACUUGGCUAACCAGAUUUGUUCUUUAGCAAUAUCUCCAGGGACUUCAAGCCCAGCCCUUGAGCACUGUUAAAGACUCUCUCUGUUCUGCAAGCUUCAGCCCUCCAGCUCUUCUAGUUUAAGACCCACACACACACUCCCAUCAGUCCCACUGGCAGCGAGGGAGACAGAGUGAUGCUGCGAGAGAGACAGACCUGGAGACAGCUGUUUUGUUAAAUUUUAUCUUCAUAUUCCUCACCCCUGCAAACCCUCCUUGAUGGGCUGAAUCUUUUAAUAAGCCUCGCUGGGUCCAGGAGAGCUGGGAACUGCAUUUGCCAGCACAGCUCCAUAACAGCCUAGUAUAAAGUGCUUUAGAAAGUACCUUCUGAAGUGAUUUAACAGCAGCUUCACGUCAGAAGAGGACUUACAUAAACAUUAAAUGCUCUCUUUAAAUAUUAAAAUAUUCUCUCGGGAUGAA